UACAAGUAUCUACUCAAACCUUCAUUUAGAACUCUUUCUCUAGAUCUGAUCCACCUUUUUCAAGGUAGAUCUGGGGGCUCUCGAUCAGCAAUAAACUGAUCUCUGGGACUGUCGGAUCAACACUUGCCACAGUCUUUCUCCUUUCUUCAAUUGGACGAUGUCUGAUCUUCUUCAAGCGCUCUUCGAGGAUCAGCUCCACACCUUUUGGGCAUGGGAUAUGGCAGCCUACUCUAGGUGUGUGAGAGGGAAUUGGAGGUGGAGGAGAGGCAGAGUUUC
rnacentral:lncRNA from 1 species